rnacentral:rRNA from 1 species
CAGUCGCCACGGUAACACGAAUGGGGCUAGCGUUGUUCGGAUUUACUGGGCGUAAAGGGCGCGUAGGCGGGCGAAUAAGUCAGGGGUGAAAUCCCAAGGCUCAACCUUGGAACUGCCUUUGAUACUGUUUGUCUUGAGUUCGAGAGAGGUAAGUGGAACUGCGAGUGUAGAGGUGAAAUUCGUAGAUAUUCGCAAGAACACCAGUGGCGAAGGCGGCUUACUGGCUCGAAACUGACGCUGAGGCGCGAAAGCGUGGGGAGCAAACAGGAUUAGAUACCCGUGUAGUCCCUGUCUCUUAUAC